ensembl:processed_transcript Snhg1 small nucleolar RNA host gene 1
UGUUUUUCAGAGAUGGUGUGUCUGGCUGAGAACAAAGGAGCCGUACCAGGUAUAUGUCUUAGUAAUGCUUUUUGUAGUAUAAGGUUGAAUAUAUAAUACUUAGACCUAGUGAAUUCCUGCUCACCCUGAUGAACUGAAUACCGCCCCAGUCUGAUAGCUGUGGAGAAAGGUAUUUUCUGAGUUGUGAGCUCAUUUUGGAUCAAGUAGGAAAUUUUUUAUGCUAAUACUAGCAUAGUAUUAAUACUAGCAUAAGCUUUUGUAAAAGAAGCUUAAGCAUUAAUGGCCCAAAUUGUUUGCUAUUUUGUAGGAAAGUUGAAGCAUAUCUUCAUUUUCAAGUCCAGGCUAAAAUAAGGUCUGAGGAAAAGAAUGAGCUGCGUGUGAAGGAUAGGUAAGCCCUUCAAAUCAUUAAAAUGGGCGGCGCAGGGUUGGGGGAAACUGGUUACCUAGACAGCCUAUAGUCUCUUCUGAUAGUGAAUGUAGGAUGAUUUUGCUUUCUACUCCUAAUUCAAAUUUUUAUCUUGCAGGAACAGAAAUCAUGAAAGAUCUGUUUGUCCAGGCCAGUGUUUCACCAUAAGAGAUCACUUUAAAAUAAAUGAUGAAAUAAUUCUUUGCAAUUGCAAAUUUACCUUCCUUGCUUACCACAUUGUUAACUGUAGGAGCUGAUACCUGGUUCUUCCACUGUUAACUUGUACUCUGUGUUUGUUCUAGCAAUAAAUGCUCUUUAUGCUA